rnacentral:tRNA from 1 species
GGAGGUGUAGUUCAAUGGUAGAACAUCGGCCUCCAAAUCCGAUUACGUGGGUUCGAUUCCUACCACCUCUG